rnacentral:rRNA from 1 species
UUAGAGGAAGUAAAAGUCGUAACAAGGUUUCCGUAGGUGAACCUGCGGAAGGAUCAUUAUUGAAUAAACUUGGUUGGGUUGUUGCUGGCUCCUCGGAGCAUGUGCACGCCUAGCGCCAUUUUUACCACCUGUGCACCCUUUGUAGACUCGGAUACCUCUCGAGGAAACUCGGUUUGAGGACUGCUGUGCGAAAGCCGGCUUUCCUUACAUUUCCGGUCUAUGUUUUCAUAUACCCCAUAAGAAUGUAACAGAAUGUCGUUUACUGGCCUUUGYGCCUUUAAUCAAAUACAACUUUCAGCAACGGAUCUCUUGGCUCUCGCAUCGAUGAAGAACGCAGCGAAAUGCGAUAAGUAAUGUGAAUUGCAGAAUUCAGUGAAUCAUCGAAUCUUUGAACGCACCUUGCGCUCCCUGGUAUUCCGGGGAGCAUGCCUGUUUGAGUGUCAUUAAAUUCUCAACCUUUCCAGCUUUUGCGAGCUUGGUCAGGCUUGGAUGUGGGGGUUGCGGGCUUCUCAGAAGUCGGCUCUCCUUAAAUGCAUUAGCGAAACCUUUGUUGACCAUCUCCUGGUGUGAUAAUUAUCUACGCCACUAGAGUGUCAGCCUCAACUUGUUGAGAGGCUCUGCUUCUAAUCGUCCUUCAGGACAACUCUGACAUUUUGACCUCAAAUCAGGCAAGACUACCCGCUGAACUUAAGCAUAUCAAUAA